GGGGGAUUAGCUCAGCUGGGAGAGCGCUUGCAUGGCAUGCAAGAGGUCAUCGGUUCGAUCCCGUUAUCCUCCACCU
rnacentral:tRNA from 1 species